rnacentral:rRNA from 1 species
GACGAACCGUGCUAACGUUGUUCGGAAUCACUGGGCUUAAAGGGCGCGUAGGCGGGCAAGCAAGUCAGGGGUGAAAUCCCACGGCUCAACCGUGGAAGUGCCUUUGAUACUGCUAGUCUUGAGGGAGGUAGGGGCGUGCGGAACUUCCGGUGGAGCGGUGAAAUGCGUGGAUAUCGAGAAGAACGCUCGUAGCGAAGGCGAGACUCUGGGCAAGUUCUGACGCUGAGGCACGAAGGCUAGGGGAGCAAACGGG